rnacentral:rRNA from 1 species
CAAGUCGAACGACGUUACGGGGGCAACUCCGUAGCGAGUGGCGAACGGGUGAGUAAUGCAUCGGAACGUGCCCUCUCGUGGGGGAUAACCAGUCGAAAGAUUGGCUAAUACCGCAUGAGCUCGAGAGAGGAAAGCGGGGGAUCCGCAAGGACCUCGCGCGAGAGGAGCGGCCGAUGCCCGAUUAGCUAGUUGGUGGGGUAAUAGCCCACCAAGGCGACGAUCGGUAGCUGGUCUGAGAGGACGACCAGCCACACUGGGACUGAGACACGGCCCAGACUCCUACGGGAGGCAGCAGUGGGGAAUUUUGGACAAUGGGGGCAACCCUGAUCCAGCCAUGCCGCGUGUGUGAAGAAGGCCUUCGGGUUGUAAAGCACUUUCGGACGGAACGAAAUCGCGCGGGUGAACAAUCCGCGUGGAUGACGGUACCGUAGGAAGAAGCACCGGCUAACUACGUGCCAGCAGCCGCGGUAAUACGUAGGGUGCGAGCGUUAAUCGGAAUUACUGGGCGUAAAGCGUGCGCAGGCGGCGCCGCAAGUCAGGCGUGAAAUCCCCGAGCUUAACUUGGGAAUGGCGCUUGAAACUACGGUGCUGGAGUGUGGCAAAGGGAGGUGGAUUCCACGUGUAGCGGUGAAAUGCGUAGAGAUGUGGAGGAACACGAUGGCGAAGCAGCCUCCUGGGCCAACACUGACGCUCAUGCACGAAGCGUGGGGAGCAACAGGAUUAGAUACCCUGGUAGUC